GAUGAACGCUGGCGGCGUGCCUAAUACAUGCAAGUCGAGCGAACUGACGAGAAGCUUGCUUCUCUGAUGUUAGCGGCGGACGGGUGAGUAACACGUGGAUAACCUACCUAUAAGACUGGGAUAACUUCGGGAAACCGGAGCUAAUACCGGAUAAUAUUUUGAACCGCAUGGUUCAAAAGUGAAGGACGGUCUUGCUGUCACUUAUAGAUGGAUCCGCGCUGCAUUAGCUAGUUGGUAAGGUAACGGCUUACCAAGGCAACGAUGCAUAGCCGACCUGAGAGGGUGAUCGGCCACACUGGAACUGAGACACGGUCCAGACUCCUACGGGAGGCAGCAGUAGGGAAUCUUCCGCAAUGGGCGAAAGCCUGACGGAGCAACGCCGCGUGAGUGAUGAAGGUCUUCGGAUCGUAAAACUCUGUUAUUAGGGAAGAACAUAUGUGCAAGUAACUGUGCACAUCUUGACGGUACCUAAUCAGAAAGCCACGGCUAACUACGUG
rnacentral:rRNA from 1 species